UACACAGACGCGAGUUUACUCUAUCAACGCGUGGCAGCCCUUAUGGUGGAAGCAUUCGGCUUUGAUGUGCAAUGCAAAUGUUUGAGAAGUAAGUAGAAUGAUAUGGAAUAAUAUGUGGAAAUUUAUGUUUUUUUCAUAGUGUGAUAAUUUGUGGGAUUGUGAGCGCUUACCCAGAGCUGUAUAGCGCGUUUUGCACGUGGCCCUGUUAAAGAAGCUUUAUAAUUUUUUAAAUGCAGUGAUGAAAUCGAUCUUAUAGAAUUUAAAGUAAAUCAAACAUGUAAGAGAAGUGCAAGGUGCAUCAUAUGUUAAUUAGUUGUGAACGAAACCGUUUUGCAUACAAAAAUAACCUACAGGAAUCCUGCAGUUUUUUAGUUUUUUUUUUGCAGGAUAUUGUUUUAUUUAUACAUUGACAAUAUGUGCAGGACAUUUCUACAGGUUUUAGAAUGAAACAUGCAGGGACAGGCAAGGCAAGUUUAUUAUAUCACAUUUCAUACACAAUGGUAAUUCAAAGUGCUUUACAUAGAAGAAAUUAAAAUAAUCAAAAGAAAUAAGAAUAAUUAUAGUACGAACAGUGUUACAGUGCUCAUUCAGUAAAUGCACAGCUAAACAGAUGUGUUUUGAGUCUGGAUUUGACUGUGACUACUGUAAUAGCACAUCUGGGCCCGUAUUCAUAAAAAUUAUAAUUGCAAAGAGUAGCUAUAGUGACAAAAUCCUAAGAAAGUUUUUAGAAAUGUGGGUGUUUACUCUUAAAAUUAAAUAAAAAUCCUAGUGAAGUAAUUCAGAAAGAGGUUAAAAGAGGUCUUAAGGUCAAAAUUGUUAGGAGUAAGGACUUUUAAGAGGCUUAAGAGUUUUUUUUAACAGGAGAAAAUGACAAAGACGAAGAGGGAGAAGAAAUGUUUUGCGCACAAUGGAUGACAGUGAGUUGAUAAGACGCUAUAAAUUAGAUCUAAAUGUAACUGGGAGCCAGUGUAAACAAGACCUGAGGACUGGUGUGAUAUGUUCACAUUUUCUGGUUCCUCAAUAUGGCAGCAGCGUUCUGUAUGAGCUGCAACUGUUUUAUGGUCUUUUGGGGAAGUGUUGUAUUUCUAUUCCACUGUAAUACCUAGAUCCUUUUAAAACAUUUUCAUAAUCCACUGUAAUCAAAUAUGCCCUUACCUUUAGAUUAAAGAUGCAAGACGUCAAUCCAGGGUCGCCAGCGGAGCAUCUAACCAGUUCAGUUCUAGGUUCGGUUUCUAGGGGCGUCUGCUAAUAUUACUAUUUGAUUACUAAAAUUAAUUUAGUAUUAAUAAGGAAAAAUUACUCCUAGUCUUGUUUAAAAAGGUUUAUGAAUCAUCACAACAUGAUUUAGUUUUCUUAAAAAAUAUUUAGAAUAAUACAAAUACAAAAAUUGCCCAAGGCAAAAAUAACAAACACUUAAAAGUCUUUAUCUGAAUUGCGACUCUUUUUGCGUUGUCCCUCUGGAGGUGUUCAACUGUAAGAUCGUCCAUAAAAAUGUCAACUUUGUUUGUGACAAGUAAUUUCUUGUACUAUUUUCAUCUGAGAUGAAGCCAAAAUGACAAAAUAUUUGACUUUAGUGACAGUGAAGGCCAAGUACUCGGAAUUUGGCCUCUGCACUUAACCCAUCCAAGUUAGUUUACACAUUAGGAGUAGUGAACACGCAAACCUUGGACAGUGGGAGAGAUCGGGGGUAAAGCGCAAGGGCACCUCAGUUGUUUCCUGUCUGUAUUGAGACCUUUGAGUUACAAGUCUGACUCUAACCAUUAGGCCACAACUGCCUUUAGAGAAAUGGCAGCAUCGUUAUUUUAUUUUUACACAGAGAUUUGUAGAUCUAUUAGUAAAAUCUGUUGACUUUAGCAAUUUUUGUUGCAUUGUAUUCCAAGAAAUAUUAUAGACAUCUUAAUAUCCUUUUUAAAUUCUGGUUCUUAACAAAAUGUUAUUUUGGUAUCAUCAUUUUGAAGGCCCUAUACAGUUUAAUUCUAAGAAUGAACUGUUCAAUUUUAUUUAAUGGUCUGAAAAAUACAUAUCAUAUGCUAAAUUGAGUUUUUUCAGGUCUUCAUCUGUUUAAAGAUUUCUUCAUUUGGCUGGUUUGGAAGGACCGAGUGUCAGCAUUACAGGAAAGGCACAGAUGGGUGAAAGCUGGUGAAUGACACAAGUGUGUUUCCUCUAUAUGCAUUAAACAGAGGUGUAGUUGAAUAGGGCAUAAUACAUACUCAGUCCAACACACACACACACACACACACACACACAGUGUGUGCGCAGAACAGAUAAACAGGAUAUCUGACAAGGAAGAGCAGAAAGGUUUUACUUAAUUUCUUUACCAGAGGCAGAUGAAAUACAAUAUAAUGAUACCUUGCGCUAUAUUACUAAAUUACAAACAAACAUAUUUUACCCUGUGGUGCUCCUCAUUUGUGUUCUUCAUGACCGGACACCUGAAAAUGAAACUUAAGCAAAAUCAAUACUUUAGUUCAAUAAUAGUUUUGUUUUGUAUUUUGAGAGCAUUUUAUAUCAAUUCAUAUUUAUGAAAUAAUUAUGGUCCAUUUUUGCCAUUGAAAAUAAUAAUAUAUUUUUUUUAAAUCUAAUUUCAUUUUUCAAUUAUAGCAGUAUUUCAGAUUAACAUAGACUGGGCCUUUUAAAUCCAUUGUUUUUGAAGGCAGACUAGCGCCACCUGUUGAGAGAAAAUAAAAUAAAACAUGUAAUUUCAUGGUGUAACCACUAGAUCCCGUGCAUACCAUUCCGAUGAAACUAUGUUUUAAAAAAAUUCAAAAUACAAAACUUUUCGGUCAAAAGUGACCGAAGACCACCAGGGGUAAUGUGGUCUUUCAUUCACUGCAAUACAAGUUUACAAGUAUGACGUCCUGCUUUUGAGAAACCUGGAAAUGUGAAGUCAAAAUACUGGCAAAGUGGGUAAAGUGGGACAGUUAAGCUUCUUAAUUUCUAUCUUUACAUGUAAAUUAUUCCAUUACUAAAAAUCAACAUUGAGCUCAUCAUAAGCAAGUAUGUGAUAAAAAAAUAUAGGUUAUGUGGCUAUGACAUCACUUCCGGGGUGUGGCACAUCAUAUUCAACAACCUUACAGUGAACCGUGAUGGUAAAGUAAAAUGAAAUAGCAUUCUGAGGUGAAUAAUGUUAAGAUUAUAAAAAUUAAAACACUCAUGGAUCAUUUGUAAUUGUUAUAUAUUUUGUUAUAGGAUGUAAUGGUGAAUCAGAACUUUUAAAAAUCACAUUCAUAUGAAUCUUUUUGUCUCUAACCUACAACUGGGUUAUAUAGGUCACAUGGUAUACAUUGGCUGCCAGUGUAUAAAGAGCAAACUAGCACAGGCAGGUUUGAUGCAUGUAGUCAAUUGGAAAUUGCUUUAUCCACUGGAAGCCUCAAUGGUGCAAAGUGAGGUUAUCCACCACUAGAUGGGUGACAGGUGAAUGAUGCACAAUAAUGUUUCCCUGUAUUCAGCAGUUGGGGUUGGUGUCCUGAGGAACACAUCUGGAAUACAACAGUCAGUUUUUUAUUUUAUUGUUCCUGUUGAAAUAAAA